rnacentral:rRNA from 1 species
UACGUAGGGGGCAAGCGUUGUUCGGAAUGACUGGGCGUAAAGCGUCCGUAGGCGGCAAUGUAAGUCUGCUGUGAAAGCGUCUGGCUCAACCAGAUAAGGGCAGUGGAAACUAUGAGACUAGAGUAUGUUAGGGGUAGAGGGAAUUCCCAGUGUAGCGGUGAAAUGCGUAGAGAUUGGGAAGAACACCGGUGGCGAAAGCGGUCUGCUAGGACAAUACUGACGCUGAGGGACGAAAGCUAGGGGAGCGAAUGGG